rnacentral:rRNA from 1 species
UACGGGGGGGGGCAAGCGUUGUUCGGAAUUACUGGGCGUAAAGGGCGCGUAGGCGGUUCGUUAAGUCCUGUGUGAAAUCCCCCGGCUCAACUGGGGAACUGCACAGGAAACUAGCGGGCUUGAGUUCGGGAGAGGGAAGCGGAAUUCCGGGUGUAGCGGUGAAAUGCGUAGAUAUCCGGAGGAGCACCGGUGGCGAAGGCGGCUUCCUGGACCGACACUGACGCUGAGGCGCGAAAGCUAGGGGAGCGAACGGG